UACGUAGGGGGCGAGCGUUGUCCGGAUUUAUUGGGCGUAAAGAGCUCGUAGGCGGUUUGGUAAGUCGGGUGUGAAAUCUCCACGCUCAACGUGGAGGGGCCACUCGAUACUGCCAUGACUCGAGUCCGGUAGAGGAGUGUGGAAUUCCCGGCGUAGCGGUGAAAUGCGCAGAUAUCGGGAGGAACACCCGUAGCGAAGGCGGCACUCUGGGCCGGAACUGACGCUGAGACGCGAAAGCGUGGGGAGCGAACAGG
rnacentral:rRNA from 1 species